UACAGAGGGUGCGAGCGUUGUCCGGAAUCACUGGGCGUAAAGGGCGCGUAGGCGGUUCGUACAGUCAGACGUGAAAUUCCUGGGCUCAACCUGGGGGCUGCGUUUGAUACGUGCGGGCUUGAGUUCGGAAGAGGGUCGUGGAAUUCCCAGUGUAGAGGUGAAAUUCGUAGAUAUUGGGAAGAACACCGGUGGCGAAGGCGGCGACCUGGUCCGAUACUGACGCUGAGGCGCGAAAGCGUGGGGAGCAAACAGG
rnacentral:rRNA from 1 species